GGUGGAUAUCUUGGCAGUAAGAGGCGACGAAGGACGCGUAUUAGACUGCGAAAUGCUUCGGGGAGCCGUCAAAUAGGCUUUGAUCCGGAGGUGUCCGAAUGGGGAAACCCUGCUACUGGAGACAGUAGUAACGGCAUGGUGAGUAAAGUAGCCAUGUGCGAGCGAACCGAGGGAACUGAAACAUCUAAGUACCUCGAGGAAGAUAAAUCAACCGAGAUUCCGCUAGUAGCGGCGAGCGAACGCGGACUAGGCCAAACCAGUAUGCUUGCAUGCUGGGGUUGUAGGACUUACAUCAAGGGGAAACUGGUAAGGGAACGAUCUGGGAAGGUCGACCAUAGAGAGUGAAAGUCUCGUACUUAAAACUGGUAGAACUGGGUAAGUAUCCUGAGUAGGACGGGACACGAGAAAUCUUGUCUGAAUCUGGGGGGACCACCCUCCAAGCCUAAAUACUCGUACAUGACCGAUAGCGAACUAAGUACCGUGAGGGAAAGGUGAAAAGCACCCUGAAUAAGGGAGUGAAAAAGAACCUGAAACCGUGCGCCUACAAGCGGUCGGAGCCUUUAGAGGUGACGGCGUGCCUUUUGCAUAAUGAGCCUACGAGUUACUGUUACUAGCAAGGUUAAGAUUUUAAGGAUCGGAUCCGAAGCGAAAGCGAGUCUGAAUAGGGCGACGUAGUUAGUAGUAGUAGACGCGAAACCCGGUGAUCUACCCAUGAGCAGGUUGAAGUUCCAGUAACAUGGAAUGGAGGACCGAACCCGUUGACGUUGAAAAGUCUUGGGAUGACUUGUGGGUAGGGGUGAAAGGCCAAUCAAACCAGGAAAUAGCUCGUACUCCCCGAAAUGUUUUUAGGAACAGCGUGGAGGUAAAGUCUGUUAGAGGUAGAGCUACCGAUAGGACUAGGGGGAGUCAAAUCCUACCAAAUCCUGAUGAACUCCGAAUGCUAAUAGAUAUACUCCGCAGUGAGGGUAAGGGUGCUAAGGUCCUUAUCCGAGAGGGAAAGAACCCAGACCUUCAGCUAAGGUCCCAAAGUGUAUACUAAGUUGAACUAAGGCGGUCCAGUUGCAUAGACAGCCAGGAUGUUGGCUUGGAAGCAGCCAUUCAUUUAAAGAGUGCGUAACAGCUC
rnacentral:rRNA from 1 species